AUGGAAUUCGGCUUGAUUACCCGCUGAACUUAAGCAUAUCACUAAGCGGAGGAAAAGAAACUAACAAGGAUUCCCUUAGUAACGGCGAGUGAACAGGGAUUAGCCCAGCACCGAAGCCUGUGGCCAUUUGGUUACUAGGCAAUGUGGUGUUCAGGUCGUUCCGCAGAGGCACUGCUCCACUCCAAGUCCAGCAAUGAGUACGGUAGUACAGACUUGGCCCAAAGAGGGUGAAAGGCCCGUGGGGGUGGAGAUUCAGGCAGGCCAGUGUCUCUCUGGGUAGACCUUGGAGUCGGGUUGUUUGUGAAUGCAGCCCAAAGCGGGUGGUAAACUCCAUCCAAGGCUAAAUACUAGCACGAGUCCGAUAGCGAACAAGUACCGUGAGGAAAGUACUUUGAAGAGAGAGUAAAC
rnacentral:rRNA from 1 species